CCUAGGGAGGCAGCAGUGGGGAAUAUUGCACAAUGGGCGCAAGCCUGAUGCAGCGACGCCGCGUGCGGGAUGGAGGCCUUCGGGUUGUAAACCGCUUUUGUUCAAGGGCAAGGCACGGUCUUUGGCCGUGUUGAGUGGAUUGUUCGAAUAAGCACCGGCUAACUACGUGCCAGCAGCCGCGGUAAUACGUAGGGUGCAAGCGUUAUCCGGAUUUAUUGGGCGUAAAGGGCUCGUAGGCGGUUCGUCGCGUCCGGUGUGAAAGUCCAUCGCUUAACGGUGGAUCCGCGCCGGGUACGGGCGGGCUUGAGUGCGGUAGGGGAGACUGGAAUUCCCGGUGUAACGGUGGAAUGUGUAGAUAUCACGCAGAACCCCGAUUGCGAAGGCAGCAUGCCGGCUUCCGACUGACGCUGAAGCACGAAAGCGUGGGGAUCGAACAGGAUUAGAUACCCUAGUAGUC
rnacentral:rRNA from 1 species